rnacentral:rRNA from 1 species
AAAUUGAAGAGUUUGAUCAAGGCUCAGAUUGAACGCUGGCGGCAGGCCUAACACAUGCAAGUCGAACGACAACAGCAAACAGCUGGCUGUGUCGCUGUCGAGUGGCGGAGGGGUGAGUAAUUUCGGGGUACAGGCCGGAUGUAGUGGG